rnacentral:rRNA from 1 species
UACAGAGGGUGCGAGCGUUGUUCGGAAUUACUGGGCGUAAAGCGCGCGCAGGCGGCCACUUAAGUCCGUUGGUGAAAGACCGGGGCUCAACCCCGUGUCAGCCAUGGAUACUGGGCGGCUGGAGACAGGUAGAGGCAAGCGGAAUUCCGGGUGUAGCGGUGGAAUGCGUAGAGAUCCGGAAGAACACCGGAGGCGAAGGCGGCUUGCUGGGCAUGAUCUGACGCUGAGGCGCGAAAGCGUGGGGAGCGAACAGG